rnacentral:rRNA from 1 species
CUAACACAUGCAAGUCGAACGGAACUUUUUUAAAAGAUUUCUUCGGAAUGAAUUUGAUUAAGUUUAGUGGCGGACGGGUGAGUAACGCGUGAGUAACCUGCCUCUAAGAGGGGAAUAACAUUCUGAAAAGAAUGCUAAUACCGCAUAACAUAUAUUUAUCGCAUGGUAGAUAUAUCAAAGAUUUAUCGCUUAGAGAUGGACUCGCGUCCGAUUAGUUAGUUGGUGAGGUAACGGCUCACCAAGACUGCGAUCGGUAGCCGGACUGAGAGGUUGAACGGCCACAUUGGGACUGAGACACGGCCCAGACUCCUACGGGAGGCAGCAGUGGGGGAUAUUGCGCAAUGGGGGAAACCCUGACGCAGCAACGCCGCGUGAAGGAUGAAGGUCUUCGGAUUGUAAACUUCUUUUAUUAAGGACGAAGAAAGUGACGGUACUUAAUGAAUAAGCUCCGGCUAACUACGUGCCAGCAGCCGCGGUAAUACGCAGGGAGCAAGCGUUGUCCGGAUUUACUGGGUGUAAAGGGUGCGUAGGCGGCUUUGCAAGUCAGAUGUGAAAUCUAUGGGCUCAACCCAUAGCCUGCAUUUGAAACUGCAGAGCUUGAGUGAAGUAGAGGCAGGCGGAAUUCCCCGUGUAGCGGUGAAAUGCGUAGAGAUGGGGAGGAACACCAGUGGCGAAGGCGGCCUGCUGGGCUUUAACUGACGCUGAGGCACGAAAGCGUGGGUAGCAAACAGGAUUAGAUACCCUGGCAGUCCACGCUGUAAACGAUGAUUACUAGGUGUGGGGGGUCUGACCCCUUCCGUGCCGGAGUUAACACAAUAAGUAAUCCACCUGGGGAGUACGGCCGCA